rnacentral:lncRNA from 1 species
GCAGCAGAGGUUGGAGCAGCAAGCAGCAGAGAGGAAGCAGCAGAGGUUGGAGCAGCAAGCAGCAGAGAGGAAGCAGCAGAGGUUGGAGCAGCAAGCAGCAGAGAGGAAGCAGCAGAGGUUGGAGCAGCAAGCAGCAGAGAGGAGGCAGCAGAGGUUGGAGCAGCAAGCAGCAGAGAGGAGGCAGCAGAGGUUGGAGCAGCAAGCAGCAGAGAGGAGGCAGCAGAGAGGAAACAGAAGCAGAAAGGAAGCAGCAGCAGAGAGGAAACAGAAGCAGAGAGGAAGUAGCAGAUCCUCGAUGAGUGAUCCACAAAGAACACAGAGCAGCUGCAAGAGAGAAACACCAAAUUACAACACACACACACACACACGCACGCACGUGCGCGCGCACACACACACACACACACACACACACACACACACACACACACACACACACACACACACACACACACACACACACACACACACACACACACACACACACACACACACAGACAGACAGAACAGAACGCCCUGAGUAUGGAGCUGCUCAGCUGUCCCUCGACAAUCAGCACAAAGGGCAUCCAACCUGAAGCUGUUUACGGUGAUGCUCCACAAGCUUCUCCAAGAAGAACCAGGACUAGAAGAUCAUGAACUACUGUGACAAGACCCAGAAGCAGUGCCCAGAUCAUACCAGCUGGAGAAGGAGUGUGACCUCAACAAGGUCAGUCACCUUACGUGCACGGCAGGUCAGGGUGGGCAAAGUUAACACUAGGCUGGGAGGAGGAAAUAGGGAUUUAGCCUCAGCUACAUAAUUGUGUUAUUUACAUACCAUUACAUGCAGGAAUGUACAGUACCGUAUCUCAACACAUGAACGCUGUUGACAUUGUACUGUAGUUUAUCAUUUAUGACUACAACACAGGGAGGAGAAACUAGGGGUGUGCUGUAGCUACAGUAUUAACAUACCAUGAUACAUGUUGCAACAUGCAGUACAUAACAUGCAACAUGCAGUUCUAUAUGUGUAACUUCUUUACAUUGGUUGAUGAGGCGGAAAUAAUGUGAGGGAGUUCAAUUUAUUCAUGUAUAAUUUACAGUGGUGUAAAGUACUUAAGUAAAACUACUAGAAAGUACAACUUUUCAUUUUUUACUUUUAAUCCCUUUUUCGUGAUAUCCAAUUGGUAGUUACAGUCUUGUCCCAUCGCUGCAACUCCGCUACAGAUUCGGUAAAGGCGAAGGGCGAGAGCCAUGCGUCCUCUGAAACACGACCCGGCCAAGCUGCACUAUUUUUGACUACUUUUACUUUUACUCCACUACAUUCCUGAAUAAAAUAAUGUACUUUUUACUCCAUACAUUUUCCCUGACACCCAAAAGUACUUGUUACAUUUCGAAUGCUUAGCAGGACAGGAAAAUUGUCAGAUUCACGCACUUAUCAAGAAAACAUCAAUGGUCAUCCCUACUGCCUCUGAUCUGGCAGACUCACUAAAAACAAAGUGAGUGUUGGAGUAUGCCCCUGGCUAUCCGUAAAUAAAAAAAGAAGAAAAUCAUGCCUGGUUUGCCUAAUAUAAGGAAUGUGAAAUUAUGUAUAAUUUUCCUUUUGACACUUAAGUAUAUUUUAGUAAUUACAUUUACUUUUGAUACUUCAGUAUAUUUAAAACUAAUUACUUUUAGACUUUUAGUCAAGUAAAUUUUACUGGGCGACUUUCACUUUUACUUGAGUCCUAUUCUCUUAAGGUAUCUUAGGAACUUUUUCCCACCACUGAUAUUUUAUGACUACAAAACGUCAGUAUUGUUACUAGGUUUUGGUUUGACAUAGACUGUUAUUCUGUCAAGCAAUAUCCCUGUCACAUUUGCAUAAUGUUUCUAUCUAAUUGAUUCAUGGAACCUCUCAAAUGUAUGAUAAUGGCAGAGAAUAAAAUGGUAGAGAUAGAAAGAGAGUAGAUAAUAAUUGCAGAAGAUUGCAGUAUCUAACAAGUCAAAUCAGAAGCGUUUGGUGCACGCACUUUGUUCCUGUCUGUAUACCUGUCUUUAAACCAGUCUCACGGAGAGUAAAAAUCCUAACCUUUGAGGACCCUAUCGCAUAGAAAUCCAGGCAGAGUGUUUGCAUCUUAUGUAACGAUUUCAGUCAGUGUUGUUGUUAUGAAGCUUCAAGAUUACCAGGUACCAUUGUCACGUCCUGACCAGUAAAGAGGUUAUUUGAUCUUAUAGUUUGGUCAGGACGUGGCAGGGGGUAUUUGUUUUAUGUGGGUCAGGGUGUGUUUGUGUAUGUGUUCAUGUAGAGGGGGUAUUUGGUUUAUAUGGUUCGGGGUGGUUAUGUAGGUAGAGGGGUAUUUGAUUUAUUAGUCUAGGGUUUUGGUUAUUGUUCUAUGUUAGUUUAGUUCUAUGUUCAGUCUAGUCAUUUGUAUUUCUAUGUUUAGUUAAUUGGCAUUGGGGCCUUCAGUUGGAGGCAGCUGUCUAUUGUUGCCUCUGAUUGAAGGUCCUAUAAAUAGGUAUGUGUUUGGCAUGGGAUUUUGGGGGAGAUUGUUUCUUGUUUUGCGUUAUGCCUGACG